rnacentral:rRNA from 1 species
GACGAACGCUGGCGGCGUGCUUAACACAUGCAAGUCGAACGGAAAGGCCCUGCUUUUGUGGGGUGCUCGCGUGGCGAACGGGUGAGUAACACGUGAGUAACCUGCCCUUGACUUUGGGAUAACUUCAGGAAACUGGGGCUAAUACCGGAUAGGAGCUCCUGCUGCAUGGUGGGGGUUGGAAAGUUUCGGCGGUUGGGGAUGGACUCGCGGCUUAUCAGCUUGUUGGUGGGGUAGUGGCUUACCAAGGCUUUGACGGGUAGCCGGCCUGAGAGGGUGACCGGCAACAUUGGGACUGAGAUACGGCCCAGACUCCUACGGUAGGCAGCAGUGGGGAAUAUUGCACAAUGGGCUGAAGCCUGAUGCAGCAACGCCGCGUGCGGGAUGACGGCCUUCGGGUUGUAAACCGCUUUCGCCUGUGACGAAGCGUGAGUGACGGUAAUGGGUAAAGAAGCACCGGCUAACUACGUG